UUGAAUCACGCAGUCCAAAACAAACCAGUUGGCGAUCACAUAUAAAUUUAGGCUGAUAAAGAUUGGUAUUCAAGGUUUUCGUCUCGUGUAGGCAAGAGUUGCAAUUUCCGAUGAACACCCAAUAUCCUGAGUUUCACAACAGCUUUAGAAAUGGAGGAAACCACGUUUAGCUACAAUUUUAUUCCGAGUCGAAGGGUGGAUGAAGUGAUCGACGUGAUGCGAUCUAGUUUUACACAACUUCAAAAACAACUGAACGGAUCUUUACAUAUGUCAGAGGAAGUUGUGGUUUUAUUUCUGUCCAUCUCUGAAGUGCCGUUGGCUCGUUGUAUGGGUUCUCUGCAAAAAGCGUUACUGGCGGAGAUAACCAAGCUGUCGAAAAUUCAGGUCGCCGACGUUCUUACCGGGAAAGGUCCAGUACCGAGAACGGAGAGAGCAGAGUACUUCAGUUAGCGGCGGAAGAAGCUGAAAAUGAAGAUGUCAGUUACGACAACGAUGGCACAGACACAGGUCACAUGUAGACCACAGUGAUACCAAAGCAGACCCAGAUCCAUCAUACUGUGGCAGUGGAUCAAGCCUCCACCACACAUGUAGUCGUCUGUGGCCAUAUGUUCAGGACAGGGUGAUGCACCUAGUGUCCACACGGGAGAGAAGCCUUACUCCUGCUCCGACUGCAACAAGACCUUCCACAGACAGGUAGGAACUGGGUAGAAGUAGUAAGACAUGAUUUCAUCUUGUGGUGAGAGUGAUAAGCUCUUUGGGUAGGUUGGCACUCAGCUAGUUCCAUUCUAUUUUUAUUGGUCGACAUGAAUCUAACACAAACUACUACAGGGGGGGGCUCCGCCUGCCCGGGCACCUUCUUCCGUUCUGACGGAUGCAAGCAACACAUGCUCACCCACCAAGAGGACAGGCCCAAGCCGUACAUGUGCUCACACUGCGGCAAAUUCUUCUCCAAUGCCACGGCAGUCGCCGCCCACGAGCGAGAAGCCGUUUCGGUGCCCGUACUGUGAGAAGACGUUUGCGACCGCCGGUAUGACGAAGGCGCACGCCCUGUGCCACCUGACUGAGCAACCUCACCCGUGUCCCCAGUGUGACAAGAGCUUCAGAACAGUGUAUGAUCUGAAGGGCCUUGUGGUGAUAAAAGGCCCUUCCUGUGUGAGAAGUGUCCCAAGGCCUUCAGGACAGCCAGGAUUCUGCAUAACCACAAGGUCCACCACAUGGAGGACAGUGACCACGCCUUUGAGGACUGCAACAAGACACCCCUUCACCUGAAGCUCCACUCAGAGGACAAGCCCUCUGUCUGUCCAGACCGUGGCAAGGGAUUCCUCUGGCUCGACCGCCUCCACCGCCGUACCCACGUUACAGAGCCCAAGUCCGGGAAGAUCCACGUGCCUGCGGGCGUUCACCAGGGAGUGACACCUUAAUGUUGAGCACGGCGUCGAACCGUCCACCCCCGUGGGUCAAAGUUGAACUGUCAUCUGGAUUGGAGGCGAAGACUAGGACAGUCCAGGUCAAACCGCCUUCGUUCAGGUGUUUUACAGGUCUGAACUGGAUCACCACAGCUGUGACGAGGAGACGGAGACAUAGACAGUUCCAGCAGAAGAGGAGGAUCACAAUGAAGAAGUCAGAGCAGUUUGAUGUUGAAAGAAGAAAACGUGUUCCCGUCUUAUAAACUACUUCUGUCAGUGUCUAGUAGUACACUCCAUAGACACCAGCUUGUGUCAGGUAGCAGGGAAUACAGGUCUAGGACCAGUUGUUAGAACGCAUCUUGUCAGCACCAAGAACAGGUCUAGGACCAGUUAGACUGCAGCUUGUGUCAGGGCCGGGGAGUGCUGUAGCAGCAAGAACAAGUCUAGGCACUGUUGUUAGAAUGCAGCGUGGGUCAGCAGGAAGAACAAGUCCCAGGCCCGUUUUUAUGAUUGUAGCCAACCAGGGAGUGGGACAGCCUCUGACCUUGUUCCAGGCACCUGUAGUGAGGUUCACAACUCCUGGUAGAGUCACAGCACCAUCUACAGCCCAAACAGUGAAACUACUCUGCGACUAGUUUACAUGCCUGUGGUAUCAUCCAAAGCAACACCCAUAGCACCAGUAUAGUAUCCAAACCCAUAGUAACACUAGUAAAUCCCUGACAAGUCUCACCCGUAGCAGCUAAACACAGUAGCAGCACCAGUCACCUCCAUGGCCAGACCAGACAUCACAACUAUGGCAGCACCAGUCACCUCCAUGGCCAGACCAGACAUCACAACUAUGGCAGCACCAGUCACCUCCAUGGCCAGACAUCACAACUAUGGCAGCACCAGUCACCUCCAUGGCCAGACAUCACAACUAUGGCAGCACCAGUAACUCCCAGGUGAAGACCAAACAGAAGAAAAUGUUUUAGUUAAAUUAUAUAUAGAACAGGGACAGGGAGGGACCCUUUUAGUUGCAAAAUGUUUUGCUACAGCGUGUAACCAAUUCACUCAGUCAUAGCUACUACUCCUCCAUGCUAACAGUUGGCUGAAGUAAACCCUGAUAUGAGUGUCAAUGAAAAGACCCACUGAAACAUCUCUCUAAAACAAAGUUUACUUACAAAUACCCAAAAGCCAUUGACAGUAAGAAUGUACACAGUGAUAAAUGCUAUUUGUAUGACCAAACAAACUGAUCAGAUAUACUUCAAGUUUCUUUCAUAAAGAGCCAUUCUAACAUGCAAACAAACACAGGAUGAAGAACUGAUGAUGUCACCAUGUUUAGGAUUACAAAUGUGUUAGUUUACUAUUCUAACAUUUAAUCCUCAGAACAUUUGAUUAAACAGUUAAGACUAUAAAA